ACGUAGGGCGCAAGCGUUGUCCGGAAUUAUUGGGCGUAAAGAGCUCGUAGGCGGUUUGUCGCGUCUGCUGUGAAAGCCCGGGGCUUAACCCCGGGUGUGCAGUGGGUACGGGCAGACUUGAGUGCAGUAGGGGAGACUGGAAUUCCUGGUGUAGCGGUGAAAUGCGCAGAUAUCAGGAGGAACACCGAUGGCGAAGGCAGGUCUCUGGGCUGUUACUGACGCUGAGGAGCGAAAGCAUGGGGAGCGAACAGG
rnacentral:rRNA from 1 species